UCCUCGGUGGCUCAGAUGGAUAGAGCGUCUGCCUUGAGAGCAGAUUCCGGGUUCGAAACCCGGCCGGGGCA